rnacentral:rRNA from 1 species
AGCAGCAGCCACGGUAAUACGUAGGUCCCGAGCGUUGUCCGGAUUUAUUGGGCGUAAAGCGAGCGCAGGCGGUUAGAUAAGUCUGAAGUUAAAGGCUGUGGCUUAACCAUAGUACGCUUUGGAAACUGUUUAACUUGAGUGCAAGAGGGGAGAGUGGAAUUCCAUGUGUAGCGGUGAAAUGCGUAGAUAUAUGGAGGAACACCGGUGGCGAAAGCGGCUCUCUGGCUUGUAACUGACGCUGAGGCUCGAAAGCGUGGGGAGCAAACAGGAUUAGAUACCCCAGUAGUCCCUGUCUCUUAUACA